AUUCAUUGAAGUAAAGAUUCCGAGCACAGAGUUUGGAACUUGCAUUCAUAUUUCUUUAAAUUCUUUUAUAUUGAGGUAAGAUGAUUUGUGCAAGUAUUUUCGUUUUCUUGUGUUUUUAUAAUCAAUUAAAUAUGUAUGGAUUGCUAGUGGAUCUUCGAGUUCUUUAAAAAGAGAGAUGAAAUUUUAUGGGAUUAUAAGAUGACCUAAAAUGAGCGUGUUGCUUGAUCACCGAUAUACUCCAUAAGAGUAGAGUGAUAUGAAACGUGGAUUUUAUUUGUUAUAUAAUCGUGUAUGAAAAUUACACGUAUCUUAUUGGGUGUUUUCGAAUAUUUACUCUUACAAAUUUUUACAGGUUAGUUUGGAUCGAUUUGAAUUGUGGAAUGAUGGUGAUGCGGACUGCCAAGUGAAUCGAAGAAAGAAAAAUGAUAUUAAAUAUUCAGUUUGUGUCAUUUCGUGUUUCUAACUUUAAUUGUUAGUUUUUAUUUGUUCAAAAACUCAUUUGUAUAAUUAGUCC
rnacentral:lncRNA from 1 species